GACGAACGCUGGCGGCGCGCCUAACACAUGCAAGUCGAACGAGCGAGAGAGAGCUUGCUCUCUUGAUGGCGAGUGGCGAACGGGUGAGUAAUGUAUCGGAACGUGCCCAGUAGCGGGGGAUAACUACGCGAAAGCGUAGCUAAUACCGCAUACGCCCUACGGGGAAAGGAGGGGAGUCUGCAAGGACCUUUCACUAUUGGAGCGGCCGAUAUCGGAUUAGCUAGUUGGUGAGGUAACGGCUCACCAAGGCGACGAUCCGUAGCUGGUUUGAGAGGACGACCAGCCACACUGGGACUGAGACACGGCCCAG
rnacentral:rRNA from 1 species